GUGAGGAAUUUUGCGCAAUGGGGGCAACCCUGACGCAGCGACGCCGCGUGGAGGACGAAGUCUUUCGGGAUGUAAACUCCUGUCAGUGGGGACGAUAAUGACGGUACCCACAGAGGAAGCACCGGCUAACUCCGUGCCAGCAGCCGCGGUAAGACGGAGGGUGCAAGCGUUAUUCGGAAUUACUGGGCGUAAAGCGUAUGUAGGCGGCAAGUUAAGUUCAAUGUUAAAGCCCACGGCUCAACCGAGGAGAUGCAUUGAAUACUGGCUAGCUAGAGGGUGUUAGAGGAAGACGGAAUUCCCAGUGUAGCGGUGAAAUGCGUAGAUAUUGGGAGGAACAUCGGUAGCGAAAGCGGUCUUCUGGGACAUACCUGACGCUGAGGUACGAAAGCGUGGGGAGCAAACGGGAUUAGAUACCCGAGUAGUCC
rnacentral:rRNA from 1 species